ensembl:miRNA
AGCCAUGACUGUAGACUGUUACUGUACUUUGAUACUGUAUAAGCAGUAAGCAGUCUAAAGCCAAGGUGC